UUAGGAUUGAGAUUUUGAACGUGCAAUGAAUCACUGCAUAGCAUCGAUAGAGAUCCUCAACAAGCUUUAUCAUGCCGAACAUAUUGUCAUCGGCCAUGAGUUGAUGAAGCUUACCUCCAUUCAGCUGUCCUUGGAUGAUCAUGCUGCUGCUCGUAGCAGCAUUAAACGAGCUGAAGCAAUAUUUUCACUUUAUUAUGGAUCUCACGUGACCAAAAUAUUUCCAUAUAUAGAAGCACUUAAGAGAAGGCUGGAAGCCUUGCUUGUUGAGAAGGCCCACUCAAUUUAAGCAUUCAUGCUGGUCGCAUGAGAUUUGAGUCAGUGCAGCAAGACUUUUGUUUUGUUACAUCAGAUCAAGCAAGUGCUUGCAGGUUUGAACGUGUAGGAGUCCCAGGGUGCUCAUCAAGCUGCCAGUGUUGUAGAGCAGGCCUUGCUCACAUGCCUAUACUAAGUGAAGCUGUUUAGGCAUGUAAAAUUGGCAUCACAACUCUUCAAACCUGUAUGCAUGGUCAAAUGUAAAGGAAAAAAUAUCUUUCAUAUCAAAAAAAAGGAAGGGUGGCAUCAUGUUGGAUUUUGUCUACUCAACAAUCGAAGUAGAGCGAGUGCAAUUAAAGAGGUUUAUGGCAAAUAAUCCAGGACCGAGGCUGACUGCGAUACUUGGAGGCACUCGAUUGGGCUCUUACUGAAAGCUGUGCGGUAAAUUAACUGUAUGAUGGCUGAAAGGCUUGGAUUUGCGAGAUGUCAAAAUCUUUUCUAUUAUGGUGAGAAAUGCCUUCAGCGUCUCAACGUUUGACUACUUGAUCUGUACUCCAAAGUCUUGUUGCUACCCGAACAGAUAUUGCUUGUGAGAACUUUUCCGGAUGUCCGAGUUUCUGAUUUAAUUAGUGGACUUGAUGGAAUUUUUAUAUAAUGGCUGUACUUAAUUAGUAACAAACAUGAUUCGAUAUUUUUGCAAUCUCUGCUAUUUUAAGUUGCAUUUUCAUU